GACGAACCGUGCGAACGUUGUUCGGAAUCACUGGGCUUAAAGGGCGCGUAGGCGGCUCCGAAAGUCCGGGGUGAAAGCCCCCAGCUUAACUGGGGAAGUGCCUCGGAUACUGCGGAGCUCGAGGGAGGUAGGGGCGGAUGGAACUUCCGGUGGAGCGGUGAAAUGCGUUGAUAUCGGAAGGAACGCCGGUGGCGAAAGCGAUCCGCUGGCCCUCUACUGACGCUGAGGCGCGAAAGCCAGGGGAGCAAACGGG
rnacentral:rRNA from 1 species